rnacentral:lncRNA from 1 species
AACAGUAAUAAUAUUAUAUCUCCUUGAGGAACCCUGGGUCCAAGGAAUAAGAAUUUUGACUUAAGACAAGUUAUCUUUAAUUGUCCAGCUCCUCUUGGCACUAUGUGACUUCCAUAGUGCUUUCCCCACUCACUUUACCAGGUUUUGUGUUGCUAUGAAUAAAGGCUCUCUAAAAGGAGGCUAGGAACUGGUGGGGAUCUAUAGUCUUCCAAUUUAAUUGUAUAAUUCUCUGAUUUUAUUCUUUAAAUUAGUCCUUCUCAAAUGACAAAAACAGUAUCAUUUACACUAUGGAAACAGAACUAAUACUAAUGUGCCAAUGCAGUUUAAAAGCUACAACUGUUUCUUGAUGAUAUGAUCAAGUUCCAAUCUUAAGUGGGUUUUUUUACCAUUAAAAACCAUUUCUUAAGUAAGAUGACUACAAAGUGCCAUAUAUUUCAUCAUCAACCAUGCUGGAGAACAUUACUAUGAUUGAAACUUAUGACUCUGCUCUUUUUCUACCUAGUCCUGUGGCAUUUUAAACUUCUAUGUCCUUCCUGGGUAAUGAGCAGCUAAUGGGCUAUGGAGUAAAGGCUAAAUGAGAACCAAGCAAGCCCCAGUGUUAGUCUUGUCUGUACUGCCCAAGCUAUAUUAACCCACUCUUUUGGGCUCAGUAUCCAAAAUGAGGGAUAAUAAGGGCAGAGAAUCAAAAGUAUUGGUGUGAGAAAUAUAUGAAUCUUAGGAGAGAAGUGGAAAUCAAAAAAAGGGAAUAGCUCUCAAGUAAUUUAUGAAAAAAGCUAUUUACAAUAAGCUAACAAAGUUAGCUAGCAGGAUUUCUUAUAAUACUUUUAGAAUAGGAAAUUCCAUUAGUUUUAUCAGAUAGAUUAUGUGAGCAUGAUAUUAAUUAUCCUUUCUUGCCUCAAGGCUGGCCAUACGGUUUUUUAUUGUUACUGUUGAUAGGGACUCAGAAAAAUAUGUCAAAGUGUUCCAGACUGACUGACCUCCACCAACAGGGUUUUAAUGACCAUGUCUUCCCUCUCCAUCUCAGGGACCUCAGCAACCUCAUUUCCACACAGCUUUAGGGAUUGCACUGCUUCUGCACUCACUGAGACGUUCACAUUUCCUGAAACAAAGAAUGUCAAAAAAGUCCUGGGGGCACUUUUAAAGUUAUAUUCUCCAUAGAUAUAUGGAAAGAGCUGAGGCGAGCCAGAGUCAGCCAGAGAGGACUCCUGGAACUUCUUGUUCAAGGAACCAAGCUGAGAGAAACCAGACAGCUAAAGACUCAAAUGAUGAAUCCUAGCAGGUGAGAAGAAGCCAGAUUGACAGUGGCCAAGGAAGAUAAGAACUCUGAGACCAAAGCCCCUGACACUUCUUCUCCACCAGUAAGUAAUGGAGAUCACAAUCUUUUAGACACUAUCUUGGAGAGGAACUGGGGAGAGGUAGAAAAAAAGUCUUACAACUUUUGGAUUUCACCAGCUUUAUGACUGAAUAGAGUUAAAAUUGCUUUCCCCCUGCAUUGACCGGUUACUGGGUGCUCUUGAUGAGGACUCAAUUAGUUAUUGAAAAAUAAAGAAGCUUUAUUUUCUAUACA